rnacentral:rRNA from 1 species
AUGCACGCUGGCGGCGUGCCUAAUCCAUGCAAGUCGCGCGAACGGACGAGAAGCUUGCUUCUCUGAUGUUAGCGGCGGACGGGUGAGUAACACGUGGAUAACCUACCUAUAAGACUGGGAUAACUUCGGGAAACCGGAGCUAAUACCGGAUAAUAUUUUGAACCGCAUGGUUCAAAAGUGAAAGACGGUCUUGCUGUCACUUAUAGAUGGAUCCGCGCUGCAUUAGCUAGUUGGUAAGGUAACGGCUUACCAAGGCAACGAUGCAUAGCCGACCUGAGAGGGUGAUCGGCCACACUGGAACUGAGACACGGUCCAGACUCCUACGGGAGGCAGCAGUAGGGAAUCUUCCGCAAUGGGCGAAAGCCUGACGGAGCAACGCCGCGUGAGUGAUGAAGGUCUUCGGAUCGUAAAACUCUGUUAUUAGGGAAGAACAUAUGUGUAAGUAACUGUGCACAUCUUGACGGUACCUAAUCAGAAAGCCACGGCUAACUACGUG